rnacentral:rRNA from 1 species
GUUUUUGACGAGAACUACUCUAUGCGGUGGAUCACUCGGCUCGUGUGUCGAUGAAGAGCGCAGCCAGCUGCGUGAAUUAAUGUGAAUUGCAGGACACGUUGAACAUCGACAUCUCGAACGCACAUUG